AAACAUGCCUUUGAAUUGGAAAGCCAGAACUUUUUGCAAAAUAAUUCAAAAAAGUUUGUUGAACCUUAAACCUUUCCUGAUGACUCCUUCCUUCUGAACUUCACUCGUUAAAAGUUGC
ensembl:misc_RNA predicted gene, 27803